CCAUCAUUAAGUUGGGCACUCUAGAGAGACUGCCAGGGAUAACCUGGAGGAAGGUGGGGAUGACGUCAAAUCAUCAUGCCCCUUAUGCUUAGGGCUACACACGUGCUACAAUGGGUAGUACAGAGGGUUGCAAAGCCGUAAGGUGGAGCUAAUCCCUUAAAGCUACUCUCAGUUCGGAUUGUAGGCUGAAACUCGCCUACAUGAAGCUGGAGUUACUAGUAAUCGCAGAUCAGAAU
rnacentral:rRNA from 1 species